GCCCAUGAGUCAACCACCUGGAAUGUGCCCAACCUCGUCAGGUCUUAGAAGCUAAGCAGGGUUUAGCCUGAACAGUGCUUGGAAGGAGGACCACUUUACACAACUAGUAUUAUAGGCU
rnacentral:rRNA from 1 species